GUGCUGCUUUACAAAAAUUGAUUGCUAAUUGGAAAUUUGGUAAGGCUGUGUGGGACUUCAGGAGCUCCACACAGUCUGACGAGACAGUGGCAGCCCACGGCACUCCAUACCCAGGAGCAACACUGUUUCUAGGUUAGCUACU